CCUACGGGUGACAGCAGUGGGGAAUAUUGGGCAAUGGGCGCAAGCCUGACCCAGCAACGCCGCGUGAAGGAAGAAGGCCCUCGGGUUGUAAACUUCUUUUGUCAGGGACGAACCAAAUGUCGGUACCUCACGAAUAAGCCACGGCUAACUACGUGCCAGCAGCCGCGGUAAUACGGAGGUGGCAAGCGUUAUCCGGAGUUACUGGGUGUAAAGGGCGGGUAGGCGGGAGAGCAAGUCAGAUGUGAAAUUCCUGGGCUCAACGCUGGAACUGCAUUUGAAACUGUUUGUCUGGAGUGAUGGAGAGGCAGGCGGAAUUCCGGGUGUAGCGGUGAAAUGCGUAGAUAUACGGAGGAACACCAGUGGCGAAGGCGGCGUGCUGGACAUUAACUGACGCUGAGGCGCGAAAGCGUGGGGAGCAAACAGGAUUAGAUACCCUGGUAGUC
rnacentral:rRNA from 1 species